GAACGCUACGGGAGGCUACCACAUGCCAACCGAGCGGUAGAGAUUCUUCCGGAAGUCUUGAGAGCGGCGCACGGGUGCGGAACACGUGUGCAACCUGCCUUUAUCUGGGGGAUAGCCUUUCGAAAGGGAGAUUAAUACCCCAUAAUAUACUGAGUGGCAUCACUUAUUAUUGAAAACUCCGGUGGAUAGAGAUGGGCACGCGCAAGAUUAGAUAGUUGGUGAGGUAACGGCUCACCAAGUCAAUGAUCUUUAGGGGGCCUGAGAGGGUGAUCCCCCACACUGGUACUGAGACACGGACCAGACUCCUACGGGAGGCAGCAGUGAGGAAUAUUGGACAAUGGGUGAGAGCCUGAUCCAGCCAUCCCGCGUGAAGGACGACGGCCCUAUGGGUUGUAAACUUCUUUUGUACAGGGAUAAACCUUUCCACGUGUGGAAAGCUGAAGGUACUGUACGAAUAAGCACCGGCUAACUCCGUGCCAGCAGCCGCGGUAAUACGGAGGGUGCAAGCGUUAUCCGGAUUUAUUGGGUUUAAAGGGUCCGUAGCGGAUCUGUAAGUCAGUGGUGAAAUCUCAUAGCUUAACUAUGAAACUGCCAUUGAUACUGCAGGUCUUGAGUAAGGUAGAAGUAGCUGGAACUAAAGUAGAUGUACGCGGUGAACAUGCAUAAGAAUAUUACUUACGGAACCAACCAAUUGCGAAAGGCAGGUUACUAU
rnacentral:rRNA from 1 species